GGGGAAGCCGGUGCAAUUCCGGCGCUGACCCGCAACCGUGAACCGCCCCCCGCUUUCCGGGCGGUGAGCCGGACUGCCC
rnacentral:ncRNA from 1 species